rnacentral:tRNA from 1 species
GGAGGGCUGCGCUAACUGGCAGGCGGGCGGUCUUGAAAACCGCUGUCCCUGUAAAGGGAUUGGGGGUUCGAGUCCCUCGCCCUCCG